UAAUAGUGUAUAUUAAAGUUGUUGCAGUUAGAACGCUCGUAGUCGGAUUUCGGGGCGUUCCGACCGGUCUGCCGAUGGGUAUGCACUGGCCGGAGUGUCCUUUUUGCCGGAGACCGUGCCUACUCUUAACUGAGCGGGGGCGGGAGACGGCACUUUUACUUUGAAAAAAUCAGAGUGUUUCAAGCAGGCAGCUCGCUCUUGCAUGGAUUAGCAUGGGAUAAUGAAAUAGGACUUUGGUGCUAUUUUGUUGGUUUCGAACACCGAAGUAAUGAUGAGAAGGGACAGUCAGGGGCACUCGUAUUCCGCAGAGAGAGGUGAAAUUCUCAGACCCGCGGAAGACGAACCACUGCGAAAGCAUUUGCCAGGGAUGUUUUCACUGA
rnacentral:rRNA from 1 species